GAUGAACGCUGGCGGCGUGCCUAAUACAUGCAAGUCGAGCGAACAGACGAGGAGCUUGCUCCUCUGACGUUAGCGGCGGACGGGUGAGUAACACGUGGAUAACCUACCUAUAAGACUGGGAUAACUUCGGGAAACCGGUGCUAAUACCGGAUAAUAUAUUGAACCGCAUGGUUCAAUAGUGAAAGACGGUUUUGCUGUCACUUAUAGAUGGAUCCGCGCCGCAUUAGCUAGUUGGUAAGGUAACGGCUUACCAAGGCGACGAUGCGUAGCCGACCUGAGAGGGUGAUCGGCCACACUGGAACUGAGACACGGUCCAGACUCCUACGGGAGGCAGCAGUAGGGAAUCUUGCGCAAUGGGCGAAAGCCUGACGGAGCAACGCCGCGUGAGUGAUGAAGGUCUUCGGAUCGUAAAACUCUGUUAUUAGGGAAGAAAAAAUGUGUAAGUAACUAUGCACGUCUUGACGGUACCUAAUCAGAAAGCCACGGCUAACUACGUG
rnacentral:rRNA from 1 species